rnacentral:rRNA from 1 species
AUUGAACGCUGGCGGCAGGCCUAACACAUGCAAGUCGAACGAGUGGCGGACGGGUGAGUAAUGUCUGGGAAACUGCCUGAUGGAGGGGGAUAACUACUGGAAACGGUAGCUAAUACCGCAUACCAUCGGAUGUGCCCAGAUGGGAUUAGCUAGUAGGUGGGGUAAAGGCUCACCUAGGCGACGAUCCCUAGCUGGUCUGAGAGGAUGACCAGCCACACUGGAACUGAGACAGGGUCCAGACGCAUAAGGGAGGCAGCAUAGGGGAAUAUUGCACAAUGGGCGCAAGCCUGAUGCAGCUAUGCCGCGUGUAUGAAGAAGGCCGUCGGGUGGUAAAGUACUUUCAGCGAGGAGGAGUUACUCGCAGAAGAAGCACCGGCUAACUCCGUGCCAGCAGCCGCGGUAAUAC